UACGUAGGGUGCAGGCGUUAAUCGGAAUUACUGGGCGUAAAGCGUGCGCAGGCGGUUUGCUAAGACAGGUGUGAAAUCCCCCGGGCUUAACCUGGGAACUGCGCUUGUAACUGGCAAGCUAGAAUGUGGCAGAGGGGGGGUGGAAUUCCACGUGUAGCAGUGAAAUGCGUAGAGAUGUGAGGAACACCGAUGGCGAAGGCAGCCCCCCUGGGCUAACACUGACGCUCAUGGCACGAAAGCGUAGGGGAG
rnacentral:rRNA from 1 species